ensembl:snRNA U6 U6 spliceosomal RNA
GUGCUUGUUUGGCACACAUAUACUAAAAUUGGAAUGAUACAGAGAUUAGCAUGGUCCCCUGUGCAAGGACGACAUACAAAUUCAUGAGGCAUUCUAUAUUUUU